GGAGAGAUGGCUGAGUGGNNGAUAGCCCCGGUCUGAAAAC
rnacentral:tRNA from 1 species